rnacentral:lncRNA from 1 species
UGGAUUUGAACAGCAAUCCUAGAUCACACCUAUAUGAAGCCUUGCUGCAUCUCUAACUUCCUGCCUCGUCAUCCCACUGUGGCCACCCUAACCUAAUGGAGAAGAUUACUGGGCCACUCUCUGCAGGUUAACUCUGGUUGGCCAGUCAAAAGACACACGCUACCAUAACAGAACACUUAAUUAACAUCAACUUGAGCAGCUUCACCCCGGAAAAGCAUUGGAGAAAGAUUCUAAUAAAGAUUGCCAUAUUGCCCUUUCUCAAGAUGAGACAGUUGGGAUGGAACUUGAACGGGGUUCAUUUGAAAAAGUUGGAGAAUCCAACCUGCUGCUGUGGGAAUAGUGCCUCACGUUCCACUGAACGCUGGGGAAGGAAGUUACAUAGUUUUUUUACGAGUAGUAGGGGUAUGCUUUAUCUAUCUUAUUGGCUUAAGCAUCCUAUUAUUCUUUAUUUUUAUCCAAUUAUAAUCAGAUUUUCAACAUUAGCACAAGAGCAGAUAGGAUGGAGACGAGUCUCAACAAGCAGGGCAGGAGAGAUUACCUGCUCCGAUAACAACUGAAACUUUUCCUAUUCGUGUAGCCAGGAGGAAUGCAAAGAUGCCCCGUUCACUUGAAUAGGAACUGGAAAGACUUAAGAUACGAAUUAGAAUAAGCAGUACUUUCUAUCCUUCGGACCCUUGCUUUAGGGGAUAUCACUGCCCGAGAAGAUCAUCUGCAAUGACAUUUGAAUAAUCCAAGGGCAACUACAGGCUCUAAGCCUAUCUGCUGUUGAAUAACCAACCGGUGCCAGUCUUUUCUGUUACAGUAAGAGCUGUUGAGUAAAUAGAAGCUCUGGUCCUAUCCGCUGCUGGUGGUGAAGUCAGUGAAUCAGUCCCAAAGCUUUCUUCCUUCAAAGAAGAAGUUUUGUCAUUACGAACUAAGACCGAAGGCAGGAUUAGAUUGAGCAGUAUAAAGGUUACUUUCUUGGCACCGGGGAUUGCCAUUUACAUUUAACUCCUUUUGGUAAGGCAAGGCAACCCUUUAUUAGAUUAGGACCGCUUCUCCGAUGAGAUGAUAGAUGCCUUUGGCCGAUUCCCUUGUCAUCUCGCCCUCCCCGCUCAAACUCAAAGUCUGUCUUAAAAUAGAGGGAGAGGGAGCCCCAGAGCUCUUCCCUUUGGGACACGUGAACUCCACUCUUGGCAACUGCCCUCUGCUGUAGCAAAAGUACCUUA